rnacentral:lncRNA from 1 species
GUUAAUAACAAUGUAUGUGUUAAGCAUGUUAUAGGUCUAACACAAAGUUAGCCACUUGAAACAAUGCAACACAAUAAAAAGAAAAGGCAAGCUCAAGCAACAAAAGGUCUCAUCUAUCAUCAAGAGAUUUAACAAUAUGAUCAACAAGUGCAACCUAUCAACACCUCAAAGUGUCAAGAAUGAUCCAUUGAUCAUUCAUCAACAUGUUUGAAGUGUUGAAGGUUCAAUCAACCUUAGGAUCAAUAAUCAAUGAUAUUCAAUAUUGUCAUCAACCAUAUAAUAAAAAAAAACGGGGUAAAAUGGUCAAAAAUAGUAAUAAAUAAUAAUAAAUAAUAAU